UUAAACGUCCAUACCACGUUGAAUACACCGGUUCUCGUCCGAUCACUGAAAUUAAGCAACAUCGGGCGCGGUCAGUACUUGGAUGGGUGAACGCCUGGAAAAACAGCGUGACGUUGGCU
rnacentral:rRNA from 1 species